ACAAAGGCUCUUUUAAGAGCCACUCAUUUAACCACAAAGUGAGCU
rfam:Loxodonta africana unplaced genomic scaffold scaffold_44, whole genome shotgun sequence.